rnacentral:tRNA from 5 species
AGGAAUUUAGGAUAAUAUAAACCAUGGACCUUCAAAGCCCAAAACAGAGGUAUCAACCCCACUAAUUCCUG